AUUGUUUUUGAUAAUGCAAGUCUGCUGAGUGCCAUCUAUUUUAUUCUUAGUCAUGGCACAACAAUAGUCCGCAUCGAAGUCUGGUGUUUCGCCAAUUUCACGGUCAGCCAGAAAUACAAAAUCGGAAUAUGACGGAUAAUUUCCUGUAAUUUGGGUUGUGUCUAAAGAGUUAUCGGUUCUUUCCUCAACGCAUUCUUCUGAGCUCUCCUGCGAUUUUGUUUCAUCGUAAACGAACGGAAUUAAGGCCUUUUGGUUAAUGAUUUGGGAAUGGAGCGCAUGCAGACUUAAAAAAAAUGCCGAAACGAGAGUCAUCGCCACAGUAUUCGCCAUGAAGUCAUUGACCCAAUAUUUAGAUAUCGCCAAACAAACUAUUACCUCGUUAACAAACAGCCUUCAAACGCACAUUAAUUGACAUAUCAAAAUUCAAUAAUGUAUUAAAUUGUUGAAGCAACUAUUACGGUUAUGGGGAAACGAGGUUAAAAAAGAACUAAAAACAAUGUUUAAACACAAAAAGUAAUAAAACAGAAUAUUAGAUAAUA